GAGUGAUGCAACACACUGAAACAGGGUCACAUUCUGGCUGACGUGUUGAGAACAGACUGAAGGAGAGCAGACAACAAGCAAGGAGACUAGCUCCAUGAAGUAAGCAGCCAUACUGAGGAAGACCAUGUGACAAAAAACUAUGGGCAGCCUCUAUGAACUGUGGGUGCCCCCCAGCCAAUAGCCAUCAAGAACCCAGAGCCAUCAAGAAUCCACAACCAACGGAAAUGAAGAACAACCUGAGGACAACCUGAAUGAGCUUGGCAGCCGAUUCAUUCCCAGCUGAUUCUCCAGAUGAGAACAAGGAGUCACACACGGCUGAGUCCUAUGCCUAAGUAAAAGAGAGAGGCAGACAUAAAAGAGCCAGAGAGAUGGCAGCAUCAGGAUUCAGACUGACAUUGCUGGCAAUGAAGAUGGAGUAAUGGGGCCAUGGGCCAGGAAUCCAGGCAGGCAAGCUCUAGGAAGGCCUCUGGAAACUGGAAAAUGCAAAGAAAAUGGAUUACCCACUAAAGCCUCCAGAAGACACAUAGCCCUGCUGACACCUUGCUUUGGGCCCAAUGAGAUCAAUUUUAAACUUCUGACCUCCAGAAUUAUAAGUAUAAAUUUGUGUUAUUUAAGUCACUAAGCAUAUGGUAAUUUGAUACAAUAGUGUGUUAGUCCCUUUGGAUUGCUAUAACAAAAUACCAUAGACUAGGUAUUUUAUAAAUAAGAGAAUCUUAUUUCUCACAGUUCUGGAGGCUGGGAAGUGCAAGAUCAAGGCACUGGCAGAUGUGGUGUCUGACGAUGGCCCACUUCCUGGUUCACUGACGGCCAUCUUCUCGUGUCCUCACAUGGCGGAAGGGAUUAGAGAGCUCUUUGAGGUCUCUUUUAUAAGGCACUCAUCCCAUUCAUGAAGAGUCCACUCACAUGACCUAAUCACAUUCCAAAGGCCCCAGCUCCAAAUACCAUCACACUGAGGAUUAGGUUUCAACACAUGAAUUGGGGUGUAAGUGAGGAGAUAUGAAUAUGCAGUUUACAGCAAGCAGCUAUAGAAAACUAAGGCAUUCGAUAUAACCUUUCAUAACAACAUUUUCAUUAAAUAUUGGGAAGAAUUUAUCAGUAAAGUCAUCUGGACCUACAAUUUUAUUUGUAGGAAGGUUUUUAACUACAGGUUUAAUUUCGUUAGAAGAUAUAUGACUCUUCAGAUUUUUUAUCAUUUUUGUAUCAGUGUAAUCUUUUUGUAUCAGUGUCAUGUUUUCUUCUUUCUUUUGGUUUACUUUGCUUUGAAACUUAUAGCUUCUUAAAAUGUAAGCUUAACAGAUUUUUAAUUUUUCUCUUUUUUUGCUAUAAAUUUCCCAAGAAAGCAUUGCUUUAGCUUCUUCCCACAUUUUAAUAAGUCCUAUUUUCAUUAUUAUUCAGCUCAAAAUAUUUUCUGAUUUUCAUUGUUUUUUCUUCUUUGACCCAUAGGUUAUUUAUAAUUUGAGGAUUUUCUGCAGAUCUAUUGAGAGAUGUUUUCAAAUCUAAUUCUACUGUGGUGACAGAAUAUGCUUACGUGUUUUUUAAACAGUCUUUUAAGAUAUCAUUCAUAUACCAUAAAAUUUACUAUUUUAAAUUGUACAAUUCACUGAAUUUUAGAAAUCCACAGAGUUGUGCAACUAUCACCACUAUCUAAUUCUGGAAUAUUUCCAUAAACUCAAAAAGAAACCCUAGACCCAUUAGCAGUCAUUCCCUAUUCCUGUCGCUCCUACCCAUAGUCACAAGUGACCACUGUCUUAGUUCAUUCAAGUUGCUAUUAAAAAAAGCCCAAAAUCUCCUUAAGCUGAUAAGCAACUUCAGGAAAGUCUCAGGAUACAAAAUCAAUGUACAAAAAUGACAAGCAUUCUUAUACACCAAUAACAGACAAACACAGAGCCAAAUCAUGAGUGAACUCCCAUUCACAAUUGCUUCAAAGAGAAUAAAAUACCUAGCAAUCCAACUUACAAGGGACGUGAAAGACCUCUUCAAGGAGAACUAUAAACCACUGCUCAAGGAAAUAAAAGAGGAUACAAACAAAUGGAAGAACAUUCCAUGCUCAUGGGUAGGAAGAAUCAAUAUUGUGAAUGGCCAUACUGCCCAAGGUAAUUUACAGAUUCAAUGCCAUCCCCCCCCCCCCCAUCAAGCUACCAAUGACUUUCUUCACAGAAUUGGAAAAAACUACUUUAAAGUUCAUAUGGAACCAAAAAAGAGACCACAUCGCCAAGUCCAUCCUAAGCCAAAAGAACAAAGCUGGAGGCAUCACACUACCUGACUUCAAACUAUACUACAAGGCUACAGUAACCAAAACAGCAUGGUACUGGUACCAAAACAGAGCCCUCAGAAAUAACGCCGCAUAUCUACAACUAUCUGAUCUUUGACAAACCUGAGAAAAUUUAUGCAUUAUGGCUGCAUAAAUGUCUUCUUUUGAGAAGUGUCUAUUCAUAUCCUUUGCCAACUUUUUGACCCAUCAACACUUUUUAAUCCUCACCCAUCUAUUUAGCCUUACCAGUGCUUUUGGUUUGUUCUUGCAGUUCCAUGCUUCAAUCUGGAUAAUUUUCCUCCUGCCUAAGAAACUUCCUUUACUGAAUCUUAGUAGCACAGGUCUGCCAGCUACAAAUUGUUUCAGCUUUUGUUUGUUUGAAAAAAAUGUACGUUUUUCUACUUCUCAUCUGAUUUACUAAAAGAUUUUUUCCAGAUUUACUGAGGUACAAUUGACAAAAACUGCAUGUAUUCAAGGUGUACAACAUAAUGACUUGAUUUACAUUUUUACUGUGAAAUGAUUAUGACAAUCAAAUUAAUUAACAUACCCAUCACCACAGUUACUGUUGCAGGGGAGUGAGGAUACUAAAAAAAAUUUUUAUUCCUAUUUAAUUUUUCAAGAAUAUUUCUUCAUUGGAUAAAGAAUUCUAUGUUGUCAAGUUUUAUUCUUUCCACACUUUUUCAAAUAUGACAUUGUCUUUGGAGUUCACAGUUGCUGUUAACAAGUCACUGUCAGUAUUAUUAUUGUUGUUCCUUGAAAAAUAAAAACAACCUUGCUUGGUUGCUUUUGAAACUUU